rnacentral:rRNA from 1 species
AUACGGAGGAUGCGAGCGUUAUCCGGAUUUAUUGGGUUUAAAGGGUGCGUAGGCGGAAAGGUAAGUCAGCGGUGAAACUCAGGUGCUCAACACCUGCCGUGCCGUUGAUACUGUUUUUCUGGAAUGCGGAUGCUGUGGGAGGAAUGUGUGGUGUAGCGGUGAAAUGCAUAGAUAUCACACAGAACACUGAUUGCGAAGGCAUCUCACAAAUCCGUGAUUGACGCUGAGGCACGAAAGUGUGGGGAUCGAACAGGAUUAGAUACCCUGGUAGUCCACACUGUAAACGAUGAUAACUCGCUGUUGGCGAUAUACAGUCAGUGGCCAAGCGAAAGCGAUAAGUUAUCCACCUGGGGAGUACGUCGGCAACGAUGAAACUUAAAGGAAUUGACGGGG